rnacentral:piRNA from 1 species
UGCUAGAAGUUCAGGUGAGAACAGGGCAG